AUUGAACGCUGGCGGCAGGCCUAACACAUGCAAGUCGAGCGGAGCGGCGGACGGGUGAGUAAUGCCUAGGAAUCUGCCUGGUAGUGGGGGAUAACGUCCGGAAACGGGCGCUAAUACCGCAUACUAUCAGAUGAGCCUAGGUCGGAUUAGCUAGUUGGUGGGGUAAAGGCCUACCAAGGCGACGAUCCGUAACUGGUCUGAGUGGAUGAUCAGUCAACCUGGAACUGGGACACGGGCCGGAAUCCUUCGGGAGGCAGGUGGGGGGAAUAUUGGGCAUUGGGCGAAAGCCUGAUCCAACCCUUCCGCGUGUGUGAAGAAGGUUUUCGGGUUUUAAAGCACUUUAAGUUGGGAGGCGUUACCGACAGAAUAAGCACCGGCUAACUUCGUGCCAGCAGCCGCGGUAAUAC
rnacentral:rRNA from 1 species